GUCGGUGUGAUGGAAUUGGCAGACGUGCUGGACUCAAAAUCCAGUGGUAGCAAUACCGUGCGGGUUCGACCCCCGCCACCGGCACCA
rnacentral:tRNA from 1 species